CCUCUUCAGGUAGGAAGAUGAGCAGCACUAUCCUUCUCACUGAUUUUCUUUCAAUGAACAGGUCAUGGUUUUUAAUUUAACAGCUCUCCAGAAAUAGAAAAAAGAAGUGAAUUACUCCUGAAGUGGCUGGAGUCAAUAUAACAGCGUAACAGGGUUGGAAAAGAUUGGUAAACCAGCACAAAAAUAGUCCAGCCUGAGUCUUGUACAAGUUUGCAUCACUGCGGGAUGUGGUGGGCCUCAAGACACUAGGCAUUUUUGGCACAGCUUGCACUUCCAUUGCAGCUGUAGGAAGGCUGGAGAAUUGCCAUUCAGGGAUGGAACUAAUAUAGAAAUUUCUUUACUCGAUAACACAAUUAGAACCAAUUGUCAUCACCUUUGGCCUUGCUCUGUGAAGGUAAAAUGGCUUAUAAUAUUAACAGGUUGCUGAAGCCCAUUUAAACCUUCACUGAAGUAGCAACUGAAGUCCUCUGCAAAGCCACAGUGUCACCUCUGCUGUGUCCCUCCUUGGGCUGGUCUGGGUGGUUGGUAAUGUGGUCAGUGCUAGCUGGCUGACCUGAAGGACUUCUUGUGACAUACCUGCUAUUGCCAGCUGCUGGAGCACGUGUCAUAGAAGGGGAUUUCUUCUACUGUAAAACUUAACAUACUGUACAUAGUACAUAGUAGCAUCUGCCAGAAAUGCAACACUAUUGUUAUUUUUCCCGUCAUGUUAUGGCAAAUGAAAAUAUAAACAAUUAGGUUACUGCAUAAUUCCUGCAGAGUCAUUGAAGUCAGCCCAAGGUUACACCUAAAGCACAUUCCUUUUCUACAUAAAAUAUUUUCUGCAUAAUAAUCUACAUAAAACCUUUUCUACAUAAAUAAAUUUAUUUCCCACUAAUUUUCCAACAUUUAUUUAAAGGUUAAGGGAAAAAAGUUUUAUGUGAUGGCCAUUGACUUAAACAAUAAGGAAACCAACCAAACUGCUUGCAUCUUCUCUACUGUGUAUUAGUGUCAGAGAAAUCUGGGAUAUUUAUGUAUCCUUUAAAAAAGAAAAAAAAAAGGAUAGAAAAUAAAUAUCAGCAUUUUCUCUGUUACAGUUCAAUCAUAAGUUAGGCCCAGUGCCAACAUCUUAUUUUUGUUUGCCCCACAAAAAAUCGUAUGUGAAAUAGGGAGCUUAUUUCACAGCCUACAGCUGUUUCUCAACUCAUUUAUUGAUUUCCAGAGUUAAAGGAGAUGAUAAAUAAUAUUUCAGAAACAGAAUAUUUAUAUCUAAGGUGGCUUUAUAAUUAAAAGAACAUUUUCUAUGUUGAUUUAUACUGAAGUUUCUUGAUUAAUUCUUAUGGAAAGUAGUAUUGAGCUGUCGUCUUAGCUUGAUAAAUCUAAUUCUGAUCUUUUAUAUCUAUGAAGGCCCUACAGAACUAGUAACUUACAGAAGCUUGCAAUAAAAAAAAAAAAAAAAGGCUCUCUGGCAAAGUGUCUUAUUCCAAUUAUUUUCUGAUUCAUCUUUCUGUGUUCUUUCAUGGUUGCCACAUGAAAUAGAAAGCUAUUGCUCUUUUAUUACUUUUAUUAACUGUUACAUCCAUAUUCAUAUUUCAAAUACACUUUAUGUAGUUAAUCAAUGGUGAUAUUUAUUGCUGUCUUAGAUAUUGAAAAGAGGUGGAAAAAAACAAAGACCCUUUUUCAA